GCGGGCGUAGCUCAAUUGGCUAGAGCGCGACCUUGCCAAGGUCGAGGUUGACGGUUCGAGACCGUUCGCCCGCUCCA
rnacentral:tRNA from 1 species